CGGGAGCUGUCAAAAUCCCACAAUUUGGGGCAAACAACUGAAAAAACAUGGCGGCGUCGGACAGGCGGUGCCACUACGAGGUUUUAGGUCUUGCCCGCGACUGCUCCGCCGACGAGAUCCGGUCGGCUUACAGGAAGCUCGCUCUCCAGCGCCACCCGGACAAGCUAGUCCAGUCCGGCUUAUCCCAGUCCGAAGCCACGGCCCAGUUCCAGGAGCUGGCCCAUGCCUACGAGGUUCUCUCCGACCCCAAAGAGCGAGCUUGGUACGACUCUCACCGCUCCCAAAUCCUCUUCUCCGAUCGCAGAUCGGCCGCGUCGGGCUCCGGCUCGGGCAUCCCCGAUCUCUUCUCAUUCUUCUCCACCACCGUCUUCUCUGGGUACUCCGACUCCGGCCGCGGAUUUUAUAAGGUAUAUUCCGAUGUCUUCAACAAAAUCUACGCCAACGAGCUCAAUUUUGCUAGGAAAUUAGGAUUAGGGUUGGACACCGUGGCUGAAGCUCCGGCGAUGGGGAAUUUAGAGAGUCCGUACGUGCAGGUCACCGCGUUUUAUAACUACUGGGCAGGGUUUUGUACGGUGAUGGAUUUUUGCUGGGAGGACAAGUAUGACGUGAUGGCCGGUCCUAACCGGAAGUCGAGGAGGUUGAUGGAGGAGGAGAACAAGAAGGAGAGGAAGAAGGCUAAGAGAGAGUUCAACGAGACGGUGCGGGGGUUGGUGGAUUUUGUGAAGAAGAGGGACAAGAGGGUGAUUGAUAUGAUGCUGAAGAAGGAGGAGGAGAGGGUGAGGAAGAGGGAGGAGGAGAGAGAGAGGAAGAAGAAGUUGGAGAAGGAGAAAUUGGAGAGGGCUAUGGCGUAUGAGGAGCCGGAGUGGGCGAAAGUGGAGGAGGAGGAAGGAGGGAAUGGGGUUGAGGAAUUGGAGGAGGACGAGGAGGAGCAGAUGAGGAAGGAAUUCUAUUGUGUAGUGUGUGGGAAGAAGUUUAAGAGUGAGAAGCAGUGGAAGAAUCACGAGCAGUCGAAGAAGCAUCGAGAUAAGGUUGCAGAGUAUCGGGAGUCGAUUGGAGAAGAAGAUCUUGAACUUGAUGAUGAAGAGGUUUUGGAGGGAGAGGGUGAAGAAAGGGGUGAGCUUGGCGAUGUUGAUGAAUUAGGUCAGGAGAUUAGAGAGGGGUUGAAGAUUGGGGAGGAGGAAGAUGGGGCAGGAGUGAGUGAUCAGGAGGAUGAGUUGCACGAAUUUGGUGGUGAAAAUGGGAAUGAAAAGGUUGACGAGGCACUUGGGUUGGAUGGUGAUGAAGAUGAAGAUGAAAUGGGUGUUCUUGAAGCAAUGGUGGCCGGGCGAAAGAUUAAGAAAAAUGUAGCCUUUUGGGUUGAGCGUGAGGAUAAGGAUGACGAUGACGCGGAGUUCAUGGAAUAUAAUAACCGGAAGAGCGCAAGAAGGAAAGGAGGAGCGAGGAAAGAGAGGAGUAAGAAGAGUGGUGGUGAAGCUAAUAAUGUUGAUAAAAGUGGAAACAACGGUGGUCAGAGUGAGGAGAGUAAUGAACAAGAUAAUUCAAAUAUGAAGGAAUCCACAUCUCAUUCCGUUGUGGAAAAUGAGAGUACUGAUAAAGGGGAUGAACAUUUAGCACGAAAGAAGAAGAGCUCAAGCAAAGCCGUCGAUAAGAAAGAGAAAGUGAAGAAAGUGGCGAACGACAAAUUAAAGAAUUCAUGUAAUGGGAAGAAAUCUAAGGGAGCAUUGAAGAAUACUAGCAACGCAUGUGAUACAUGUGGAGAGGAGUUCGAAUCAAGAAACAAGUUACAUAUGCAUUUGGGUGACACUGGACAUGCGAAGCUGAAGUAUCGAUGAGGGAACAGUUGCUGAAUAUUAACCUGAUGUGAUUAAAUUAUCAGCCAUAGAAAGAGUAUGGCGACAUUGGUUGGCGGCGAUUCAUUCAUUUUUAUAAGGUACAGAAACAGUCAAAGAUUUCUGUAGGAAGCACUCCAUUCUUUUUGGUAAUCAGACACAAGUACAACGACCCCCUUUUAUCAUAAAGGGUACAACGGCUGGCUGGAUGCAAUGCGGAACGCAUGGACGGACGACUGAAGGUGCACAGAGAAAGUUCGGCCCUUGCAGAAAACGGGAUGACCUUCACAAUGGGUGGCUUAUUCGAAAACUUUUUCCCAGUUCGUCAAGUGUCGUGAGCAUGAUGUCAUGUAAUUUGGUAGUGUUCUAGAUGUUUUGAGGUGUUGGUAAAAGGAUUUAGUGAUGUGUUUGUUGAAGCAGUUCUACUAAUUUUCGAGAGAACAGCA